UACGUAGGGGGCAAGCGUUGUCCGGAAUCAUUGGGCGUAAAGCGCGUGUAGGCGGUUCGGUAAGUCUGCUGUGAAAGUCCAGGGCUCAACCCUGGGAUGCCGGUGGAUACUGUCGGACUAGAGUACGGAAGAGGCGAGUGGAAUUCCCGGUGUAGCGGUGAAAUGCGCAGAUAUCGGGAGGAACACCAAUUGCGAAGGCAGCUCGCUGGGACGUGACUGACGCUGAGACGCGAAAGCGUGGGGAGCAAACAGG
rnacentral:rRNA from 1 species